rnacentral:ncRNA from 1 species
CUUAUCAAGAGUGGUGGAGGGAACGGCCCGAUGAAACCCGGCAACCUGCGGGAACGCAAGGUGCCAAAUCCGGCGAAGCAAUCGAAAGAUGAGG